UACGAAGGGGACUAGCGUUUUGUUUCGGAAUCACUGGGCGUAAAGCGCACGUAGGCGGAUUUUUGUAAGUCAGGGUGAAAUCCCGGGGCUCAACCUCGGAACUGCCUUUUUUGAUACUGCGAAUCUUUGAGUCCGAUAGAGGUGGGUGGAAUUCCUAGUGUAGAGGUGAAAUUCGUAGAUAUUAGGAAGAACACCGGUGGCGAAGGCGGCCCACUGGAUCGGUACUGACGCUGAGGUGCGAAAGCGUGGGGAGCAAACAGG
rnacentral:rRNA from 1 species